UUGGGGCAAGUAUGGACAAAACAUUCAAGCGUGAUACAGCUCUGAAUUUGGAUUGUGAUCAAAUUUUUGACAUUACAUGGUUUUUUUUUACACAAAACAAAUGUCAAGAUUUUACAAAUCAAUUAAAGAUUUCUUCUUCAAACUUUUUAAAUCUAAAAUUAAAUAGUUGAUCAUGACACAGCAUAGGUUUCUGACACAGAACGAAUGUGGUCUAAUGAACUUAAAAGUUUUUUUUGCCUUUGAGCAAUUCACUAUGCUGUUGAAUAUUAAUCCUCUCAAAAAAAUGUUUGAAGAAAUUUUCUUUUUAUUUAUGAAAUCUGAAAUGAGAAAAAUUUAAACCCCCCCCCCCUUUUUUUCACAUCCCCGUUUCCCUUUUUCCAAAACUGAUAUCAAUUCAAAUUUCUAAUGGAGUUUGCAACAAUAACUACUCUUUUAAAUACAUCAUAAAAUAUUAAAAUGUAAAAUAAAGUGCUUG
rnacentral:lncRNA from 1 species